AACAGAAGAAAAAAAAAUAUUUAUUCUUCAUUUCAAAAUAUAUUUUCAAAGAAAUAAAUAUUUGAUGAUGAAAGAGUCGUUUCUCUAAACCUACAUCUCGAUCAAGAUCUACGGAUCCUUACACGGCCUCGUUUUUACUUCUAAAUCACACACGAGCGUCUUUAAAUUACUGUCACCAUUAUCUUAUCGUACAGUCCCUUUUACAGAAUCGUAAAUACUAGUUGCACAGCGUACGAGAGGAACGGCCACGUGCCCCGACGUGUCGUCGCUGUAAAUUAUUCAAAACCGGCACAAUAAUGAGUAAGCAACUUAUGAGUAGAUAAGCCUCGCCUUCCCACUUAUUACCAUACCUCGACGAUGCUAACAAGUAGCGAGCAAACCUUGCUUCGAGAAACUCAAUUUUUUCCUUUUCCCAAUAUUUUACCACGCUUUAAAUCUACCAUAAUUCCUUCACUUACGAAUAAACCAGUGUAUAUUUACUUUUAAAUACUUAUUUUGUGCAACAUAAAGUUGCAUCAAAUACGCUUCGAGACGGACCUUGCUCCAACACGACCAAGGUUCUGAUCGAUAAAACGGAAGCAACGGGACGUAUACGAGACCAAAGGAGCACCGCCAAGGGCGCGGAAGACUCGGGAACGAUCAGGAUCAGGAUAGAUGAAGAUAUCCGGAGGAUGGUGUUUCGCGUCGCGACGAGGUCAAAGAGAAGCGAAGAAAGAGAAGGCUGGGCUUGUCGUUUCGCCGCAAACCCGAAAAUAUCCAUGUUGGCCGGUAUGUUGAAACCUGGCAUAAGCUUUGGCCGGUUGCCAGAAGAGCGGUACUCGGUUGGAGGCCACGCCAGGCCAGAGGCGACCGGCCUCGUCGCUUCGAACGUCCGUCCGUUAGGCCUCCUCGCGAAAAAAGGAGAGGGGAG